rnacentral:lncRNA from 1 species
GGUGCUCCUUUGAACGAAAGGCCAAUUGUUGCAGGAAUCUAUGCUUCCAAAAAAAGUUUUCUCGAGAUAGAGUCCGGACAAAGUAGAAAUCCCAUAUUCUAUCCCAUGCUAAUCGCCAUAACGCAACGACUGUGGAUUCCUUUCUUUUUCUAUUGCUACAUGUUGGUGCGACUUCAAAUUCUGUGUUCCUUUCACACAGGU